ensembl:lncRNA
AUUGAAGACUGGGAUUUCUAAUUAAAUGAAAGGUUUUUAAGCAAAUCUGAGACCACAAGUUUUGGUCUAAGUUAACUGAUAAAUCCGCUUCCCAUUUUGCAAUAGGAAUUGAUAUUGAUUCAUCUGUUUUAGAAAGCAUUCUGUAUAUUUUGGAAAGUAAUUUGGGGGUUUUAAGAGUAAGAAAUUGUACCACACUUGGUGGUGUUUGUAGUUCAACUUGACCCGGUUUAAAUUUCUAUUUUACUAUGGAUUUAAUUUGUUCAUAUUCUAACAAAUUAAACUCCACAGUGGGUUUUAAUCUGGGACUCUCCACCAUUUGACCUUAGAACUGAAGAAGCUUCUCGGAUGAGAGGUGAAACAUAUUUGUUAAAUUUAAGACUAAAGAGAGAAGUCAUCUGUAUCUCUUAAUUGAAAUGACACCAAAUUGUAUUCAAAACUGAGCCACAUUUAUGGAGGUCCACAAUUCUUUUCUUGGUGUUUUGGUUGAUAUCUCUUGAUUUUCCCAUGUCAAAGAAACAGGGUCGUGUUUUGCCUUAUAUGCAUCCACAGGUCUGCCACCAAUUUACUCACAUGGACUCUACCAACCAAUCAGAAGCUUCUUCAGCUCAGAAUGGAAUCAUCUAGAGUUUUCUUAUUAAUUAACAAUAAACUUAGUGUACAUGUACUCCUAAAUUUGAUGAAAGUGAUAAAAAUAGACAGCUCUCUCUCAAUUCUGACAUUUAACUAAUUCAAAAUAUAUUUUAAUAUUUAUUUACCUAAAACAAAACAAGUUUACUCUAAAUUCAUGUGUAACAGUGAAAUUUUAUUUCAUGUUUUUUCCCUAAAGUGUAUGCAAACAUCCGAUUUCAACUGUGAAUAUACUGCUGUGUAUUGAAAUUCCUCUUGUUUUGCAUAGAAAUACACUGAACAACAUACAAAGCAUAAUAUAUAAAAAACAUCUACCAGAGUUUUUCUUUGAAAAAAGCCCCUUAUGUCCAUUGUUGUGUUCAUCAGUAAAUAACUGAAGCCGAUUUAGAGUGCUUUGUUUAGCCGUGGAGGGUAACAACUGAAAAUAUGAAAUAAACACACAUUUAACCUAAGAAUAUCUAAAACAACAGCAUUGUUGUUCGGCUUUUCUUUUCGCCAUUUGUUGAUUCACUCGAAGAGCAAGUAAUGUAAUAUGGGUCAAGUGAUCCGUUUGAUAUCAAUCUUUUGUGAUGCACCGUCAUAUUUACAUUAUUUGUAUAGUCCGAAUGAUUUGCUUUGGUACCUUGUCAAACUUAAGCUCUCCUCUGUCUGCAGCAAACUCGCAGGCAGCAGCUUCUCUCCCCUCGCUCACAUGCAUAAGUGCUGUUCUCAGUUGGCCCAAAAUUCAGACUCAGCAGGAAGUGGAAACCCUUCUACCCUCUCCAAUCUUAGCAGAGGUCUACAAGUUUGUGGACAAGGCUCAGCGGGCCCAACACUCUAAAGCAGGGGUGUCGAAGUCCAGGAAAAGAAAGACAACGCAGGAAAUUUUACACCUUGCUUUUAAAAACACACACUCCUCGUUCUGAACCUACAAAACUCAGAGACGAAAACACACCCGAAGACAGUCAGGAGAAAUGGGUAAAGAACUUUUCAGACCGGAAUCUCACUGAACCUGAAAAGAGAGUAUUAGCCAAAGGACUCAAUUUUGCCAUUUCUUCGCAACAGUUGCCCAUAGUGGACCUCAUCACAGCCACAGAAACCGCCAUACGGAUUAAUAAAUUAUCACAGACAGAAGCAGAGCAAAUCAGGAUGAAAGUCUCAGCCACCCUCUCCAGUGCCGAAGUCCCUCCAUCCAACCUCACAAUACAAGAAGGCCGUCACUUCCCUGAGCAAAGACCACAACAUCACUAUUUUACCAGCUGAUGAGGGAAGAUGCACUGUGGUCCUAAACACUACAGAUUACCACACAAAGAUCACUACUCUCCUCAGUGACAACAAUACCUACGGAGCCUUAAAGCGAGACCCCACAAGCAGCUACAAAAAAAAAGUUAUAGCUUGCCUUCAGGACCUUGAAAAGGACAAAAUGAUUGACCGCCUUCCAUAUCACCGCCUUUAUCCAGGGGAUGCGAUACCCUGCAUUUACGGACUUCCUAAAAUCCAGAAGGAAGGUGUCCCACUCAGGCCCAUAGUCAGUGGCAUAAACUCAGACACUUCUAACAUUGCAAAACACCUUGCUACCAUCCUAGCACCUCUUGUGGGAAACACCCCACACCACAUCAAGAACUCCACCGACUUCACCGACAAGGUCCAGAAACUUACCCUGGAUCCAGAUGAAACCAUGGUGUCCUUUGAUGUAGUCUCUCUCUUCACUUGCAUACCCACCACGGAGGCCGUGGAUACUGUCAGAAAACGACUACAAGAAGACAACUCCUUGGAAGACAGGACCAACUUCACACCCGAUCAGAUCUGCACACUGUUAGACAUCUGCCUUAGCACAACAUACUUCAAAUACAACAAAGGCUUCUACAGACAAAAACAUGGCUGUGCCAUGGGGUCCCCCGUGUCACCUAUUGUAGCCAACCUUUAAAUGGAGGAAGUGGAAAGGACACAUUAACGCUGUGGAUAAAAACAUCAAGUUCACCAGGCAAGACACAAAGAAUAACUGUUUGCCUUUCCUGGACUACACUGUGCACAUUGAAGAGAAUGGCAACCUCAACAUUGAAGUUUACUGGAAGCCCACACACACGGACCAGUACCUCCUCUUCUACUCCCAUCACCCUCUGGAACACAAACUUGGAGUAAUCAGGACCCUACACCACCGGGCAGAACAUGUUCCCUCUAAGGCUGAAGGAAAAAAGAAGGAACACACACAUGUAAAGGAAGAACUUAAAACGUGCGGUUAUCCUAAUUGGGCGUUCAUAAAGUCAGCAAAGAGGCACAGAAAGCCGACAUGACGAAUGAAGUCUUAAAGCUCCACAUUACCUGAGAAAAACUCAGGACAGGUCUCCAAGCAUGACAUCCCGGUGCAUUUCAGACCCAGCAACACACUCAGACAGAAACUGGUUCACCCGAAAGACAAAACUCCUAAACACAAGCUUAAUAAUAUGGUGUAUGCUGUACAGUACAGCAAGGAAUGCCCAGACCUCUACAUUGGAGAGACCAAACAGCCACUUCACAAGCGUAUGGCACAACACAGAAGAGCCACCUCCACAGGACAAGACUCAGCAGUCCAUCUGCAUCUUAAGGAUAAAGGACACUCUUUCGAGGAUGCCAAUGUUCACAUUUCGGACGGAGAGGACAGAUGGUUUGAAAGAGGAGUGAAAGAGGCCAUCUAUGUCCACUGUGAGCGACCAUCUUUGAACAGAGGCGGUGGGUUACGACACCAACUGUCUGCCAUCUAUAAACCAGUUUUGAGUUCCCUCCCCUGACGCCUUAAUGCCCACUCACAUCCUGGGCCAUCUGACCUCAGGAAUUUGCAUGAUAAGGUGUGGCCAGGUUUCACAAUGAGCUCACCCGAAAUCCUGGCUGAUUGGGACCCACACCCAUUUUCACACCUCGGCUCAGGUGAUUAGAUUAGAGGAUCAUCAGGGGUCCUUUUGUCCCUCUAUGGGGGGAUACUCCCACUGGGGUUUAAAUCUGGGACUCUCCGCUGUUUGACAUUGGAACUGAAGAAGCUUCUCGGAUGAGAGGUGAAACGUCUUCAAGCAACUUAAAGAAGUCCAGACGCUUUUCUUUGCAAGCUCCUUUGAUCAUCCAGGUAAGGAACUGUGGUCGCAAAUUUUGAAGCCAUUCUGAUAACCUUCUUCCACCAACGAUGUGGAGAUCCAAAUCCAAUUAAAACCAAGACACUCAAAAAGAUGCUCUGUAAAAGAGUAGAAUUCUUGGAACAGAGUUUAAUACACUGAAUCAUAUGAACAGCAGGAAAAAUACAAACAUACAUUUAGCAAGAAAAUUACAAAGCAGAAAGCAAGCAAAGCAAAACCCCGGGGUGUACAGCCUUAAGCACAGACAGCAGAGCAACACAGAGACGGACAGGUAGCAGCAGCAGGAGGAAAAAGAGCUCUGGGGGUGUCCUCUGGUCCCCUAAUAUAGGGACCAGUAUCCCCUCCCCCUGCUGCUGCGUAACUUUCCCACACGCCCAGCACAGCUGCUGGGGUCAGGUAGUGGCCAAGGUCUUGGCCAAAGGCCAGUCAGGACUCUGAGUACCCCUUGCUCUGGCUUAUCACAAUAGGUCAUGACACGGUCAAAGGUCAGACAUUAAUCCUAAUUAUUAAAUCUUAUACAGCAAGUGGCACAAUCUUAUAAUAUAUAAUACAUAGGUUACAUGCUUUCUCAUAUAUAAAAACACUUCAUUUGGGUUCAAAGUGUGUGUGUGUGUGUGUGUGUGUGUGUGUGUGUGUGUGUGUGUGUGUGUGUUUAUUUUGUAUGGUAUUUUAUCGUGAUGUGUUCAGGAUCUCUGUUACAAUGUUACUGUUUUGGUUGUGCUGCAUUAAAGACAUUAAAUUAAUUAAUUAUUAAGUAAAUUAUUCAAGAGAACUCUCCCCUUACAUUAACUGCCCUGUUACAGUACCAACUUAAUAAACCUCGGUGAAGCAAAAAUGUCUUGUGUUUAAGACUCCACAUGAA